rnacentral:rRNA from 1 species
GACGAACGCUGGCGGCGUGCUUAACACAUGCAAGUCGAACGGAAAGGCCCUGCUUUUGUGGGGUGCUCGAGUGGCGAACGGGUGAGUAACACGUGAGUAACCUGCCCUUGACUUUGGGAUAACUUCAGGAAACUGGGGCUAAUACCGGAUAGGAGCUCCUGCUGCAUGGUGGGGGUUGGAAAGUUUCGGCGGUUGGGGAUGGACUCGCGGCUUAUCAGCUUGUUGGUGGGGUAGUGGCUUACCAAGGCUUUGACGGGUAGCCGGCCUGAGAGGGUGACCGGCCACAUUGGGACUGAGAUACGGCCCAGACUCCUACGGGAAGCAGCAGUGGGGAAUAUUGCACAAUGGGCGGAAGCCUGAUGCAGCAACGCCUCGUGCGGGAUGACGGCCUUCGGGUUGUAAACCGCUUUCGCCUGUGACGAAGCGUGAGUGACGGUAAUGGGUAAAGAAGCACCGGCUAACUACGUG